rnacentral:rRNA from 1 species
UACGGGGGGAGCAAGCGUUGUUCGGAUUUACUGGGCGUAAAGGGCGCGUAGGCGGCCACCGCAAGUCGACUGUGAAAUCUCCGGGCUUAACCCGGAAAGGUCAAUCGAUACUGCGGGGCUAGAGUGCGGAAGGGGCAACUGGAAUUCUUGGUGUAGCGGUGAAAUGCGUAGAUAUCAAGAGGAACACCUGCGGCGAAGGCGGGUUGCUGGGCCGACACUGACGCUGAUGCGCGAAAGCUAGGGGAGCGAACGGG